rnacentral:rRNA from 1 species
GAUGAACGCUGACAGCAUGCUUAACACAUGCAAGUCAACCGGUGGCGGACGGGUGAGAGACGCGUAAAGAACUUGACUCACAGAUAGGGACAACAUUUGGAAACGAAUGCUAAUACCUGAAACUGUGAGAGAGCUUUGCGUCCCAUUAGCUAGUUGGAGAGGUAACGGCUCACCAAGGCGAGGAUGGGUAGCCGGCCUGAGAGGGUGAUCGGCCACAAGGGGACAGAGAAGCGGCCGUUGCUCCAACGGGAGGCAGGAGCGGGGAUGAUGUGACAAUGGGCCAAAGUCUGAUCCAGCAAUUCUGGGUGUACGAUGAAGUUUUCGGAAGGAAGAGUGCUUUCAGUUUGGAAGCAGUACCAACAGAAGAAGCGACGGCUAACUACGUGCCAGCAGCCGCGGUAAUUC